AUGAACGCUAGCGGCAGGCUUAACACAUGCAAGUCGAGGGGCAUCGGGAGUAGCAAUACUUGCCGGCGACCGGCGCAAGGGUGCGUAACGCGUGAGCAGCAUGCCCGUAUCAGGGGGGAUAAUCCAUGGAAACGUGGUCUAAUACCCCAUAGUAAUUAUGUAAGGCAUCUUAUAUAAUUUAAAGCUUUGGUGGAUACGGAUUGGCUCGCGUGACAUUAGCUAGAUGGUAAGGUAACGGCUUACCAUGGCUACGAUGUCUAGGGGUUCUGAGAGGAAGGUCCCCCCACACUGGAACUGAGACACGGUCCAGACUCCUACGGGAGGCAGCAGUGAGGAAUAUUGGACAAUGGAUGGAAAUCUGAUCCAGCCAUGCCGCGUGCAGGAAAGACGGCCCUAUGGGUUGUAAACUGCUUUUGUAUGGGAGCAAUAAGGGCUACGCGUAGUCCGAUGAGAGUACCAUACGAAUAAGCACCGGCUAACUCCGUGCCAGCAGCUGC
rnacentral:rRNA from 1 species